rnacentral:rRNA from 1 species
UACGUAGGGUGCGAGCGUUGUCCGGAAUUAUUGGGCGUAAAGAGCUUGUAGGCGGUCUGUCGCGUCUGCUGUGAAAAUCCGGGGCUCAACCCCGGACUUGCAGUGGGUACGGGCAGACUAGAGUGUGGUAGGGGAGACUGGAAUUCCUGGUGUAGCGGUGAAAUGCGUAGAUAUCAGGAGGAAUACCCGUGGCGCAGGCGGCUUCCUGGGGCACACCUGACACUGAGAAGCGACAGCUAGGGGAGCAAACGGG